GCAUUCCUUCCAUGUAAAUUUUGAGGACAACGAUAACCGAUCAGUGCUGAAAGGUGGUCCUUUCUCUGACAGCUACAGGCUCUUUCAGUUCCAUUUUCACUGGGGCAGUACAAAUGAGCAUGGUUCAGAACAUACAGUGGAUGGAGUCAAAUAUUCUGCCGAGCUUCACGUAGCUCACUGGAAUUCUGCAAAGUACUCCAGCCUUGCUGAAGCUGCCUCAAAGGCUGAUGGUUUGGCAGUUAUUGGUGUUUUGAUGAAGGUUGGUGAGGCCAACCCAAAGCUGCAGAAAGUACUUGAUGCCCUCCAAGCAAUUAAAACCAAGGGCAAACGAGCCCCAUUCACAAAUUUUGACCCCUCUACUCUCCUUCCUUCAUCCCUGGAUUUCUGGACCUACCCUGGCUCUCUGACUCAUCCUCCUCUUUAUGAGAGUGUAACUUGGAUCAUCUGUAAGGAGAGCAUCAGUGUCAGCUCAGAGCAGCACAACAACCGCCCAACCCAACCUCUGAAGGGCAGAACAGUGAGAGCUUCAUUUUGAUGAUUCUGAGAAGAAACUUGUCCUUCCUCAAGAACACAGCCCUGCUUCUGACAUAAUCCAGUAAAAUAAUA
rnacentral:lncRNA from 1 species